UAUGGCCGAAAUUGUACCUGAAAGAUUGGGUCGUUUAAAGUAAAAGCAAUUUGCUAUAUUGAAAGAGAAAGAUUAAAAAAAGUGUUAUUAUUGUUCACAUUAAUGUGACUGGAGUUAAUGAUAAACGUCAACUAAUACAUGCCAGUGUUGAUAUUUAUGAGGAAAACGAUUCCUGGAAAUACGAAUGUCAAACGCUUGAAAAUUUUGACCACUGUGAAGAAUUACAUUUAGAACCCGUGUCACUUACAAAAUGUAAUAUUGUUGGUGAGCAGUAAAAGGGGAUAAAGUGGAUUUAUGCUUGUGUGAUGACUGUAGCCAUGUGAACGGGUUAUCGUACGGCAAAACCCAUCACGUAAAAAAGAGUCUUCAACUUUUCAAGAAAGGAAUGCCUUGUUUUGCUAUCAACACAAAGCUCGGAACAGGAAGCAAUGAUCAACAACAUUGGUGGUCCAGGAACGAUUAAUUACUUUUUGUCAACACUGAAUGUUCCAAUGAUCAAUUGAACUUAAACAAAAUGGAAAUAAAUGCGGGAAGGACGUACAUUCAUCAAGUUUCAACUAUCUCCUUUAAAGCAGAUAGGCUUAUAAGAUGGAAACGAAGAGGAAAAUGAGACCAGACAGAUUAUGGACUCAAAUUCAACCCGUAAAAAACGCUAGGAACUUGCAGUCACUGAGUGUUCUUGUUUACAGUCAUGUGUUCAAUGCUGCAACAACAUAAAUAUUAUAGCUGUCUAUGGACUCAACCCUAUGCAUCUUAAAAUGAACUUUGAACGCGAUGGUCUCAAGAACAUUUUUAUUAUGAAUAACUCUGACGGUCAGCCCAGGGUCACCAAUGCCAAGCGUCUUUUGGAGACACUUAUUCCAACCUGUCGAAGUUCUUCAAAGAACUACCAUGACAAUCAUGUAUUUGUUUUGUUCGUCAUAAUAAGUUUAAUGUUUUAUAUCACUAGUAUCACUAGUCAUUGAUACAUUGAUAAAUCUAUUUUCCUUUAAACGUGUUUGAUUAAAUAUGCCUUGUUACUUAAUUAUUAAUGUUCUUAUUUUCCUGUAACAUUUUCAAGUCUUAUUUAUAGAAAAACGCAUUUCACGUGCAAUUUCAAACUAGGUUAGCAAAUCUUACUGCACUGAGUAGGUUCCAUCUCACACAUGAUAUAUGAGAUGUAUGUAUGUUUAUAUGUUUAUGAGUUCAUUAUAGGCUUUUCCUCUUUUUUUAUCUAUUUAUAAUAAUUUUUGAACAUUUAGCUCAUCUUUAUGCUAUCAUAUAAAAAUCUCAAAUUCAGUAUGGCGUCUCUGGAAAAGGGGGGUAACCUUGAUUGUAAAGCGGGAACUUUUCGUUUUCACUGGUGACCCCCAUUUUUAGCUUAUUAUUAUAAAGCCUAUUAUAUAUGAAAUAUAUAUAGUGGAGCUAUCCAACUCACCCAGGCGUCGGCGUGAGCGUGAGAGUGCAAAUUUUAAAGUUUGCGUACUACCCCAAAUAUUUCCUAUGUGCCUUGACAUAUUGCUUAAAUAUUUAGCAUACUUCUUUACCAACAUGACCCCAACCUUUGAACAAAAGCAGACAACUAUAUCAAGCAAUUUGUAUGAAUUAUGGCCUUUUUUCACUUAGAAUAUGCAUAUUAUUAAUGUUCUAGUUUGCGUAACACCCCAAAUAUGUCCCUUGACAUAUUGCUUUAAUACUUUGCAUACUUCUUUUCCAACAUAACCCCAACCUUUAAACAAGAGCAGACAACUGUAACAAGCAUUUUGUAAGAAUUAUGGCCUUUUUUUCACUUAGAAUAUGCAUAUUAUUGAACAAUCUAUGUGAAAGUUUGCGUACCAACUCAAAUAUUUUUAAUGUCCCUUGAUCUAUUGCUUUCAUAUUUUGCAACCUUCUUUACCAACAUGACCCAAAUCUAUAAACACGAGCAGACAACUGUAUCAAGCAUUUUGUAAAAAUUAUGGCCCUUUUUUCAUUUAGAAUAUGCAUAUUAUUAAUAAAUCUAUGUCAAAGUGUGCGUACCACCUCAAAUAUUUUCAAUAUCCCUUGACAUAUUGCUUUCAUAUUUUUCAAACUUUUUAACCAACAUGACCCCAAGCUAUAAAAAAAGAGCAGACAACUGUAUUAGCAUUUUGUCUUAGUAACUGAAUAUUUGCUUAAGUUUUGUGUUUAGAUCCACUUGACUUCUAAAGUAUCAAAGCUAUUGCUUUCAAACUUCAAAUUUUUUCUUACUACCAUGAGGGUACUGUACCUGGCAAGUUAAAAUGUACCUUGACCUUUGAAUGACCUUGACUCUCAAGGUCACAAGAAUAAAUUUUAGUUAAAUUGCCAUAACUUCUUUAUGUAUGAUACGAUUGUAUUCAUAAUUUGACAAUACAACACUUACCUGAAUACCGCAAUGGACUACACUCAAACAAAACAAUACCCCACGCCUCAACCCAGAGUCCCUGCACCCCCCAACAUUUUUUUUCUUCUAUAUUUUUGAAAGAUUGUCUAAUAAAUGUCCACACCCCACAUUAUACCCCUGCUCAACCCCCCCCCCCCCCCCUAUCCAACCAAAAAAAAUAUUUUUUUCUUUGAAACAUGGUUAAAAAAAUAUUGUUUACUUUAUUUUUGAAGGACCAUCCAAACAUCCCACCCAAGCUAUUGCUAUCAAACUUUAAAAAAUCUUAUUAGUUUGUUUUAUGUCUUUACAAAUGUUCAAUAGAUUGUUUAAAAUAUACCUGAACUAUUACCUUGACAUUAUUGAAUAAUCUGAACAAUAUCCCCAUGAUGGCUUAUGUUGUACUGUCAAGCACUCGAAUAGUCGAGCGCGCUGUCCUCUGACAGCUCUUGUUUUCUUUUUUUUUCAUUCAAGCAUACAUUUUAGAUGAUUUCUAUGUUCGAAGAUUGUAAUUUCCUUUUGCCAUGUGUUUUAUGCCUCCUUUCGAAGAAAAGGGGGCAUAUAGUGAUCGGACUGUCCGUCUGUCCUUCUUUCCGUCACACUUUGCGUUUAGGUUUCGAAAAAUGCUCAUAACUUCUAUGUCCCUUGAGAUAAAGCCUUUAUAUUUGGUAUGCAUGUGUAUAUGGACAAGGCCUUUCCAUAUACGCACAAAAAGGUUGACGCCUGUGACCUUGACCUUGAACUUAGGGUCCGCGUUAAGGUUUCGAAAUCUGCGUUUAGGUUUCGAAAAAUGCUAUAACUUCUAUCAAAGCGUUUAUAGGGGGCAUAUGUCAUCCUAUGGUAACAGCUCUUGUUUGACAAUUUAUUUUUAAAAAGACUCGUGACAAGAGAUUGCAAUUUUUCUCAUUUUCGAAGGAUGAUGACAUCACUUGUUUGUUAAUUUUUAUGCCCCCCUUUCGAAGAAGAGGGGGUAUAUUGUUUUGCACAUGUCGGUCGGUCCGUCGGUCGAUCCGUCCACCAGAUAGUUUCCGGAUGAUAACUCAAGAACGCUUAGACGUAGGAUCAUGAAACUUCAUAGGUACAUUGAUCAUGACUGGUAGAUGACCCAUAUUGAUUUUCAUGUCACUAGGUCAAAGGUCAAGGUCACCGUGACUCGAAAUAGUCAAAUGGUUUCCGGAUGAUAACUCAAGAAGGCUAAGGCAUAGGAUCAUGAAACUUCAUAGGAACAUUUAUCUUCAGGUUACUAGGUCGAAGGUCAAGGUCACAGUGACUCGAAACAGUAAAAUGGUUUCAGAAUGAUAGCUCACUAAUGCUUACGCUUAGGAUCACGAAACUUCAUAGGUACAUUGAUCAUGACUGGCAGAUGACCGCUAUUGAUUUUCAGGUCACUAGGUCAAAGGUCAAGGUCACAGUGACUCAAAACAGUAAAAUUGUUUCCGGAUGAUAACUCAAGAAUGCUUACGCCUAGGAUCAUGAAACUUCAUAGGAACAUUGAUCAUGACUGGCUGAGGAUUCCUAUUGAUUUUCUGGUCACUAGGUCAAAGGUCAAGGUCACAGUGACUCGAAACAGUAAAAUGGUUUCCAGAUGAUAACUCAAGAAUGCUUAGGCCUAGAAUCAUGGAACGUCAUUGGUACACUGAUAAUGACUGGCAGAUGACCCUUUUUUUUCAGGUCACUAGGUCAAAGGUCAAGGUCACAGUGACUCGAAAUAGUAAAAUGGUUUCCGGAUGAUAACUGAAGAAUGCUUACGCCUAGAAUCAUGAAACUUCAUAGGGACAUUGAUCAUGACUGGCAGAUGACUCCAUUUAAUUUUCAGGUCACUAGGUUAAAGGUCAAGGUCACAGUGACAAAAAACGUAUUCACCCAAUGGCUGCCACUACAACUGACAGCCCAUAUGGGGGGGCAUACAUGUUUUACAAACAGCCCUUGUUUCUUUAUUCUUUUUGUCACAUGUUAUAAACUAUCAUAGUAGUAUAUAUUAUGCAUUUAUCUAUUAAUACAUACUAAAAAAGU